rnacentral:rRNA from 1 species
GACGAACGCUGGCGGCGUGCCUAACACAUGCAAGUCGAACGAAGAAUGUUUUUCGGAAUAUUCUUAGUGGCGGACGGGUGAGUAACGCGUGAACAAUCUGCCCCGUACAAAGGGAUAGCCUCGGGAAACCGGGAUUAAAACCAUAUAACACUUAACUGCCGCAUGGUAGUGAAGUCAAAUCGAUUAAGAGGUAUGGGAUGAGUUCGCGUCUGAUUAGCUAGUUGGUGAGGUAAGGGCUCACCAAGGCGACGAUCAGUAGCCGGCCUGAGAGGGUGAACGGCCACACUGGAACUGAGACACGGUCCAGACUCCUACGGGAGGCAGCAGUGGGGAAUAUUGCACAAUGGAGGGAACUCUGAUGCAGCGACGCCGCGUGAGUGAAGAAGGUCUUCGGAUCGUAAAACUCUGUCCUUGGUGAAGAAAGGACGGUAGCCAAGGAGGAAGCCCCGGCUAACUACGUGCCAGCAGCCGCGGUAAGCAUACUCGUA